UGGGGAAUAUUGGACAAUGGGCGAAAGCCUGAUCCAACCAUGCCGCGUGUGUGAAGAAGGUCUUCGGAUUGUAAAGCACUUUAAGUUGGGAGGAAGGGCAUUAACCUAAUACGUUAGUGUUUUGACGUUACCGACAGAAUAAGCACCGGCUAACUCUGUGCCAGCAGCCGCGGUAAUACAGAGGGUGCAAGCGUUAAUCGGAAUUACUGGGCGUAAAGCGCGCGUAGGUGGUUUGUUAAGUUGGAUGUGAAAGCCCCGGGCUCAACCUGGGAACUGCAUCCAAAACUGGCAAGCUAGAGUACGGUAGAGGGUGGUGGAAUUUCCUGUGUAGCGGUGAAAUGCGUAGAUAUAGGAAGGAACACCAGUGGCGAAGGCGACCACCUGGACUGAUACUGACACUGAGGUGCGAAAGCGUGGGGAGCAAACA
rnacentral:rRNA from 1 species